rnacentral:rRNA from 1 species
AACGCGAAGAACCUUACCUGGGCUCGAAAUGUUAUGGACCGGAGUGGAAACAUUCCUUCCCCGCAAGGGGCCGUAAUAUAGGUGCUGCAUGGCUGUCGUCAGCUCGUGUCGUGAGAUGUUGGGUUAAGUCCCGCAACGAGCGCAACCCUUAUCUUCAGUUGCUACCAUUUAGUUGAGCACUCUGACGAAACCGCCUCGGAUAACGGGGAGGAAGGUGGGGAUGACGUCAAGUCCUCAUGGCCUUUAUGUCCAGGGCUACACACGUGCUACAAUGGCCGGUACAAACCGUCGCAAACCCGUGAGGGGGAGCUAAUCGGAAAAAGCCGGCCUCAGUUCGGAUCGUAGUCUGCAACUCGACUACGUGAAGCUGGAAUCGCUAGUAAUCGCGGAUCAGAAUGCCGCGGUGAAUACGUUCCCGGGCCUUGUACACACCGCUCGCGA